rfam:Picea glauca, whole genome shotgun sequence.
UACCAUUAUAGCAUGGAUGUAGUCGUAUGCUUGUCUCAAGGAUUAAUCCAUGCAUGUCUAUGUAGGAACUAAUUUAGAAUGUGAAACUACAGAUGGCUCAUUAAAUCAGUUAUAGUUUCAUUGAUGGUACCCUACUACUUGGAUAACCGUAGUAAUUCUAGAGCUAAUACAUGCACGAAGUCCCGACUCUUUGGAAGGGAUGCAUUUGUCAGAUAAAAAAGGUCGGCAUGGGCUUGCCCGCUUCUUUGGUGAAUCAUGAUAACUCAACGGAUCACACAUCCCUUGUGUUGACGAUGCUUCGUUCAAAUUUAUGCCCUAUCAACUUUCAAUGGUAGGAUAGAGGCCUACCAUGGUGGUGAUGGUUGAUGGAGAAUUAGGUUUCGAUUCUGGAGAGGGAUCUUGAGAAACGACUACCAUAUCCAAGGAAGGCAUCAGACGAGCAAAUUACCCAAUACUGACAUGGGGAGGUAAUGAAAAUAAAUAACAAUACCAGGCUCAUCGAGUUUGGUAAUUGGAAUGAGUAUAAUCUAAAUCCCUUAACGAGGAACCAUUGGAGGGCAAGGUUGGUGCCAGGAUCCAUGGUAAUUCCAUCUCUAAUAUUGUAUAUUGAAUUUGUUGUAGUUAAAAAUCUCGUAGUUGGAUCUUGGAUCGUAAAGGUUGGUCCGCCUACUCGGUGUGCACUUGCCCCUCUGUCCCUUUUGUCGGCGGCGUGCUCCUAGAUUUAAUUGGCUGGGUCGUGGUUUUGACGUUGCUACUUUGAAAAAAUUAAAUUUCUCAAAGAAAGCUUAUGCCCUGAAUACAUUAGAAUAUAAUAACACGAUAGGCGUCUGGUCCUAAUGUGUUGGCCUUCGGGACCAGAGUAAUGAUUAAUAGGGACUAUUGAGGGCAUUCAUAUUUCAUUGUCAGAGGUGAAAUUCUUGGAUUGAUAAAAGAUGAACCACUGUGAAAUAAUUUUCCAAGGAUGUUUUCAUUAAUCAAGAACGAAAUUUGGGGGCUCGAAGAGGAUUAGAUAUCGUCCUAGGCUCAACCCUAAACAAUGUUGACCAGGGAUCGACGGAUGUUUCUCUAAGGACUUCGCCAGGACAUUUUGAGAAAUCAGAGUGUUUGGGUUCUGCGGGGAGUAUGGUCGCAAGGAUGAAACUUAAAGGCCUUAUUAAAAUAUCUCUUGGUCAGCC